GACGAACGCUGGCGGCGUGCUUAACACAUGCAAGUCGAACGGAAAGGCCCUGCUUUUGUGGGGUGCUCGAGUGGCGAACGGGUGAGUAACACGUGAGUAACCUGCCCUUGACUUUGGGAUAACUUCAGGAAACUGGGGCUAAUACCGGAUAGGAGCUCCUGCUGCAUGGUGGGGGUUGGAAAGUUUCGGCGGUUGGGGAUGGACUCGCGGCUUAUCAGCUUGUUGGUGGGGUAGUGGCUUACCAAGGCUUUGACGGGUAGCCGGCCUGGGAGGGUGACCGGCCACAUUGGGACUGAGAUACGGCCCAGACUCCUACGGGAGGCAGCAGUGGGGAAUUUUGCACAAUGGGCGGAAGCCUGAUGCAGCAACGCCGCGUGCGGGAUGACGGCCUUCGGGUUGUAAACCGCUUUCGCCUGUGACGAAGCGUGAGUGACGGUAAUGGGUAAAGAAGCACCGGCUAACUACGUG
rnacentral:rRNA from 1 species